rnacentral:misc_RNA from 1 species
AUUUAGCCCAGACAAAAGUAAAAAGCCUUGAGGGAAAAAAUCAUUUUUUCUUGCACUUGCAGAGCGACCAAAGGAAGCUCCUGCAAGGGGAAUAGAAAAAACGAUUUAUGACUGAAAGCUUGAAACGGAUGGCUGGAAUAGCU